AUUGAACGCUGGCGGCAGGCCUAACACAUGCAAGUCGAACGAGUGUCUGUCGUGUUAUUAAUGUCUCGGCAACUGCCUCAUGGAGGGGGUUCACUACUGUAAACGGUAUCUAAUACCCCAUACCCUCCUUUUUGCCCUGAUUGGAUUAGGUAGUAGGGGGGGUAAAGGCUCACCUAGGCGACGCUCCCUAGCUGGUCUGAGAGGAUGACCAGCACCGCUGGAACUGGGCCACGGUCCAGACUCCUGCGGAGGGCAGCAGUGGUGAAUAUUGCACAAGGGGCGCAAUCCUGAGGCAGCCAUGCCGCGUGUAUGAGAAGGGCCGUCGGUUUGUAAAGUACUUUCAGCGGGGAGGCGGUAAAAGAAGAAGAAGAAACGGCUAACUCCGUGCCAGCAGCCGCGGUAAUAG
rnacentral:rRNA from 1 species